GGACCGUGGGUCCCUGAAGAGUAUAUGGAGACCUGACCACCUCACCCUGGUACCUGGAGCCCUCUGAGGUUGUUAACAACCCAGCCCGACUGUGGGCUUGCAAAGGGACAGAUUCCACCCACUUGGCUCCUUUCCUCCUUAGCCAGAAACCUUCAGAGGGAAAUGGAAGGAUGAGAAACACACUCCCUGGCCAGGCUUGUCUCCAGUCCUCACACACCACACACAGUGACAUACUUUCAUUAACCCAGCCAAACCCGCUCACAUGACUGGGAGUGUGUGGCAGGGGAAACAGACUGUUUUCUUCUAAAGUGGUUGGAGAGAGAAAACUCUUGAAACAUCUGUAACAAGAACCCCAUCCCCUAACCCUAGAGACCCUUAAAGAAGGAGAGGACUCCGUCCAGUGCUGGGUUCAAUGGAAGUGCCCACUGACCCCACGCUGGCCCCUGUAACGCACUGUGGUCCUGAAGUAAGAGGACUGAGAUGCCAGGUGAGGAGUCACAUCCCUGGAGAGGGUGACCCAGCUUCCUACAAACUUGUGGAAGAGACCUCUGAUUCCACUACCUAAAAGUUCAAAAGGUGAAAGUCCUUCACCCUUCGUCUAUCCUGUUCCCAAAGGGAUGACCCUCAAAUUCAAAGAUCGAAGUCAUAGAACGCUGUAGGAGGAAGAAGCGAGGCCUGCUGGGGAGAAGGAAAAGGCAGGCCUUGGAUGACUACGGGGAGACCCUUGUUAACAUCUGCAUAAAGCCCCGCCCCACCCAAGUGCCAGGUCAGAGAGCACCACCAAGAGGGGAGAAGAAGGCUGCCUGCCUCUACUGACAGCAUGGACCAAGGGGGUGUCCCUCUGAGACUGAGGAAGAGGAGACGAUUCUCCAAGCAGGUUUUUUUCCCUGUAAGAUGGCAGCAGAAAGAAACUUCAGUUGUAGAGACAAACCCCUUGUAAAGCUGGAAGCAGAUCCUCUCAGAAACAGGUCUGAGGAAUCUGUCUCCAGAAGGGUCCUGGAGAGCCCUUGGGGCUCCAGGGUCAGUCCAGGGGAAGAUGGUCAGUGUGGUCAAAGGCCGACUGAAGGCCAACUGAGGACUAGGGUGUAGCAUAUGUAGUAGGAUGCUCGCAUGUUGUAGGGUGAGGGCCAGAGGUCUUGGCUCCGGUACUGAAUGGAUGAUGUGGACACGAUUAGUUGGGGUCUGGGGUUUCAUAGCAAGAAAGGGGGCAGAGUCAGAGACCUUUGGGGCAUCACCUGUUCUCUGUUGCCCACCUCCCCAAACUCUUUUAGCUGGGUACUUUCCUCCCAGAGCAAGCUACAUCUUGGGAGGAACUAAACAGGGAACAGGCUGGGGGCGGUGGCAGUGUCCAGAGUCCCUCUGACCAGCUCAGGCCAAGGCCCAGGGGUCGUGGCACUUUCCCACCAGAACUGGGUCUGGAAGGCAGAGCGUAGCCAAACCCUCUCGUUCAACUCCACGCAAGCCUGACUCUUAAGAAGUGCCCUCGUGGAGGAGUGCGACACAGGGUCACAGCGUCAUUGGUGAAAGCAGAGGGGAGAAUAGAAACUGAUCUGAGCUUAGGCUGAAACUUGAAACUGCUAUGGAUAUGGAGGUCAGAAGGGAGCAUGGGCAUGAAUCCUGAAUGGUGGGGCAACUCGAAACCAUCCCAACCAAGAGGUGGGUUCCAUGGCACCCGCCCCUCAGGUGAGCAGCCCCGACUCCUUUGCCCCCGUGAGGGAAGCCCCACUCACCUGACUUGUCCCCCCUGGAGUGAAAAGAGGCCCCACUUUUGAGUGUUGUGUGUCAAUAACAGUGUUGUGUCACUGGUGGUCAUGUUGAAUAGUUGAAGAGAAUAAAGGGAAUAAGAUUUC
ensembl:lncRNA